ACCUUGGCUAUCCACUGAUCCAAAUCCAUAUCUCUGUUGGUAGAUUACUUUUCAGUUUUCUGAAUUUGGAUUUGGAUUAGGAUUUUCACUCACUCGUUUCUUUUCUCCUCAGAUGUUAAACCCAACAAUGAUGAAACGAAACCUGGAGCGAGAAAGAGGAGAUGAAAGCAACCUUUGAUUUUUAUUUUCCGUAUUAUAUUUCUUUAUUUGAAAUGCAAAACUUGAACAGAUCAG
rnacentral:misc_RNA from 1 species